AUUGAACGCUGGCGGCAGGCCUAACACAUGCAAGUCGAGCGGAUGAAGGGAGCUUGCUCCUGGCUUCAGCGGCGGACGGGUGAGUAAUGCCUAGGAAUCUGCCUGGUCGUGGGGGAUAACGUCCGUAAACGGGCGCUAAUACCGCAUACGUUCUGAGGGAGAAAGUGGGGGAUCUUCGGACCUCACGCUAUCAGAUGAGCCUAGGUCGGAUUAGCUAGUUGGUGGGGUAAAGGCCUACCAAGGCGACGAUCCGUAACUGGUCUGAGAGGAUGAUCAGUCACACUGGAACUGAGACACGGUCCAGACUCCUACGGGAGGCAGCAGUGGGGAAUAUUGGACAAUGGGCGAAAGCCUGAUCCAGCCAUGCCGCGUGUGUGAAGAAGGUCUUCGGAUUGUAAAGCACUUUAAGUUGGGAGGAAGGGCAGUAAGUUAAUACAUUGCUGUUUUGACGGUACCAAAAGAAUAAGCACCGGCUAACUUCGUG
rnacentral:rRNA from 1 species